rnacentral:rRNA from 2 species
UAGGGAAUAUUGGGCAAUGGCCGAGAGGCUGACCCAGCCAUGCCGCGUGCAGGAAGAAGGCCUUCUGGGUUGUAAACUGCUUUUAUCAGGGAAGAAAACGCUCCUGCGGGGGUAACUGACGGUACCUGAUGAAUAAGCACCGGCUAACUCCGUGCCAGCAGCCGCGGUAAUACGGAGGGUGCAAGCGUUGUCCGGAUUUAUUGGGUUUAAAGGGUGCGUAGGCGGCCCGUUAAGUCAGCGGUGAAAUCCCACGGCUCAACCGUGGAACUGCCGUUGAUACUGGCGGGCUUGAGUUCGGUCGAGGCGGGCGGAACUGGUGGUGUAGCGGUGAAAUGCUUAGAUACCACCAAGAACCCCGAUUGCGUAGGCAGCUCGCUGGGCCGAAACUGACGCUGAGGCACGAAAGCGUGGGGAGCGAACAGG